rnacentral:rRNA from 1 species
AGGGUUUGAUCAUGGCUCAGGAUGAACGCUAGCGGCAGGCCUUACACAUGCAAGUCGAACGGUAACAUAAUCAGCUUGCUGAUUGAUGACGAGUGGCGCACGGGUGCGUAACACGUAUGCAACCUACCUCUAACAGGGGGAUAGCCCAGAGAAAUUUGGAUUAAUACCCCAUAGUAUUAUUUAUUGGCAUCGAUAGAUAAUUAAAACUCCGGUGGUUAGAGAUGGGCAUGCGUUCUAUUAGCUAGUUGGUACGGUAACGGCGUACCAAGGCAACGAUAGAUAGGGGGCCUGAGAGGGUUAUCCCCCACACUGGUACUGAGACACGGACCAGACUCCUACGGGAGGCAGCAGUGAGGAAUAUUGGUCAAUGGAGGCAACUCUGAACCAGCCAUGCCGCGUGCAGGAAGACGGCCCUAUGGGUUGUAAACUGCUUUUGUAUGGGAAGAACUAGUUUUACGUGUAAGACUUUGACGGUACCAUACGAAUA